rnacentral:tRNA from 1 species
UCGGGGAUCAUCUAAUGGUAGGAUGGCAGAUUCUGAAUCUGCCUGUCUAGGUUCGAAUCCUAGUCCCCGAA